GACGAACGCUGGCGGCGUGCUUAACACAUGCAAGUCGAACGGAAAAGCCCUGCUUUUGUGGGGUGCUCGAGUGGCGAACGGGUGAGUAACACGUGAGUAACCUGCCCUUGACUUUGGGAUAACUUCAGGAAACUGGGGCUAAUACCGGAUAGGAGCUCCUGCUGCAUGGUGGGGGUUGGAAAGUUUCGGCGGUUGGGGAUGGACUCGCGGCUUAUCAGCUUGUUGGUGGGGUAGUGGCUUACCAAGGCUUUGACGGGUAGCCGGCCUGAGAGGGUGACCGGCCACAUUGGGACUGAGAUACGGCCCAGACUCCUACGGGAGGCAGCAGUGGGGAAUAUUGCACAAUGGGCGGAAGCCUGAUGCAGCAACGCCGCGUGCGGGAUGACGGCCUUCGGGUUGUAAACCGCUUUCGCCUGUGACGAAGCGAGAGUGACGGUAAUGGGUAAAGAAGCACCGGCUAACUACGUG
rnacentral:rRNA from 1 species